rnacentral:rRNA from 1 species
UACGAGGGGGGCAAGUGUUGUUCGGAAUCACUGGGCGUAAAGGGCGCGUAGGUGGCUUUGUAAGUCAGUGGUGAAAUAUUGCGGCUCAACCGCAAAACUGCCAUUGAUACUGCUUAGCUUGAAUCACGUCGAGGUGGAUGGAAUAAUACAUGUAGCGGUGAAAUGCUUAGAUAUGUAUUAGAACACCGAUUGCGAAGGCAGUUCACUAGGCGUGUAUUGACACUGAGGCUCGAAAGCGUGGGGAUCAAACAGG